rnacentral:lncRNA from 1 species
UCUCACAUUGCUUGUCUCUCUAAAUAUAGUAAAUCAUAGCAUGACAUAGUAACUGUGGCUAGCCUACGAGUUUUGAUACACUAAUGAAUGAGUUUUUCUAUGGUUGUGACUUUGUCACUGUUCUUUUUCAUUUUUUUCUCACUCAAGAAUGAUUUUUGGCUUUUCAGGUACUUUUUCUAUUUGUAUGGAUUUUCUUUUUGGAUUUUUC